UAGUGGCGGACGGGUGAGUAACGCGUGAGAAUCUGCCCUCAGGAGGGGGAUAACGGCUGGAAACGGCCGCUAAUACCCCAUAUGCCGAGAGGUGAAAUGAAUUUCGCCUGAGGAUGAGCUCGCGUCUGAUUAGCUAGUUGGUGUGGUAAAGGCUCACCAAGGCUUCGAUCAGUAGCUGGUCUGAGAGGAUGAUCAGCCACACUGGGACUGAGACACGGCCCAGACUCCUACGGGAGGCAGCAGUGGGGAAUUUUCCGCAAUGGGCGCAAGCCUGACGGAGCAACGCCGCGUGAGGGAUGAAGGCCUCUGGGCUGUAAACCUCUUUUAUCAAGGAAGAAGAUCUGACGGUACUUGAUGAAUAAGCCACGGCUAA
rnacentral:rRNA from 1 species